AGGAUACGGUUAACGGAGCGAAAGCGACGUUCAACCUCAAAAGAAGCAGAGGGGGCUUAGUGGUGGGGUGACUGCGUACCUUUUGUAUAAUGGGUCAGCGACUUAUAUUCUGUAGCAAGGUUAACCGAAUAGGGGAGCCGGAGGGAAACCGAGUCUUAAUUGGGCGUUAAGUUGCAGGGUAUAGACCCGAAACCCGGUUAUCUAGCCAUGGGCAGGUUGAAGGUUGGGUAACACUAACUGGAGGACCGAACCGAC
rnacentral:rRNA from 1 species